UUGCACAUUAUUCAAGGUUUUUCUUUUUUUUAAAGUUGAAUCUCUUCAUUGUGCGAUAUAAACAAUGUCCUUUAUUCCCGUUCUGGAAUUUUAUUUCUUGCGCGAUGAUCUGGCCAUGACAAAA
rnacentral:snoRNA from 1 species